rnacentral:lncRNA from 1 species
GUUGAAGAGUCUGAUUUUCAGUGGAGUCCUACACAGAUGGGAUACGGCUGAGGAGGAAUCCUGGGCUGUGGGCAUUCCUUGGCCUAGUGGCUAGAUUUCUGGCACUUGAAGCAAGAUCCUGAUGCAGGAAGUCCUGUAGGAAUGCUUGACUGCUGCGGCUUAGGCGUGUGCGGCUGAGGCAUUUUGAAGUUCUCCUAUGCUGGAGGUGUGGCUGGGUCUCGUCUCACAGCAGAGCUUGAUGCAGAUGAGCAGGUAACCAUGGAAGUCGUGAGCUGAGGCUGCAGAGUCUAGAGCCAGAGUGUGGAAUAAACUUGGGUCUCAAAUCACCCCUGGAGCAAAGCACCCAUCUAAUCAGGAACUUCUACUUUCAACUUUACAUGCGUGAGAAAUGAACUUCUAUCAUGUUAGAGAAAUCCUUACACGGCGCCCUUGAGAGCUUUCAUACUGCAAGUCAUCCAUUUUCCUCCCCUCAAACCUGGCAUCGGAGUUUAUUGAAACAAAGCAAA